GCCCGUUUGGCGCAAUGGUAGCGCGUCGCCCUCCUAUAUGUACAUUACAGUAUAUGUCGGAAUAGGCGAAGGCUGCGGGUUCGAUCCCCGUGAUGGGUG